GGGCGGUUAGCUCAGUUGGUUAGAGCGCGCGCCUUACAAGCGUGAGGUCGCAGAUUCGAGUUCUGCACCGCCCA
rnacentral:tRNA from 1 species